CCGUCGAUAGCUCAGUUGGCAGAGCGUGGACUGUAGAUCCAUAGUCGCUGUUCGACUCCGCUCGACGGA
rnacentral:tRNA from 1 species